rnacentral:rRNA from 1 species
AUUGAACGCUGGCGGAAUGCUUUACACAUGCAAGUCGAACGGCUGCGCGGACUUCGGUCUGGCGGCCCGUGGCGAACGGGUGAGUAAUACAUCGGAACGUACCCUGUUGUGGGGGAUAACUAGUCGAAAGAUUAGCUAAUACCGCAUACGAGCUGAGGGUGAAAGUGGGGGACCGCAAGGCCUCACGCAGCAGGAGCGGCCGAUGUCGUAUUAGCUAGUUGGUGGGGUAAAGGCCCACCAAGGCGACGAUCAGUAGCGGGUCUGAGAGGACGAUCAGCCACACUGGGACUGAGACACGGCCCAGACUCCUACGGGAGGCAGCAGUGGGGAAUUUUGGACAAUGGGGGCAACCCUGAUCCAGCAAUGCCGCGUGUGUGAAGAAGGCCUUCGGGUUGUAAAGCACUUUUGUCCGGAAAGAAAUCGCGCUGGUUAAUACCUGGCGUGGAUGACGGUACCGGAAGAAUAAGCACCGGCUAACUACGUGCCAGCAGCCGCCGUAA